ACGGACCUGCCCAGACAGACACUUAUGGCAUAGCAAUCAACUUCCGCAACGUCAAACUGACGAAUGGCCACCAUGGUCGUAGUGAAUUUCAGGAGUCGGUCUGAGGCAGAUAUAUAUCGCUAUUUUUCUUUUCUUUUUUUUUUCAGCACUUAUGUGUGUUUCCGUGGUCGGUUCGAUGCGGAUUCAUGUGUUUUGCUUGUCGUUUGGUAUUCUCUUUCUUGCUCCACCAGGCAACCCCGGUUUCACCGCGCAACCUCAACAGAGCAUUGCCAUCGGAUCCGCAUCAUCAGAGGACGAGCAAGAGCGUGCCUUUGACGGAUUCGCUGAGUUCGCAAGAAGCCUGCAAGGAGCGGGAUUAGCUUUCGCUGAUGAACUUGCUCUACAAAGGAGUACUCUUCCUUGCACUUCUGAUGGCGACUUGGAGCGGUGGGUCUGGAGCAAGUACCUGUAUCAGCUACAGUUUUAUUCGUACCGCCUAUAUUGAGUGUUCAAUGUGUUUAUCCUGUACGCAAAGGACUCAUAUUCUACACCGUAGUCUCUAGCUUGCUUUCAAAGCUGAACUGAGCUCAUAAUACUGGUUGCCCUUGGCCUACGAGAAUUAUAUAUACUGUGAAACUCU